AGCGAACGCUGGCGGCAGGCCUAACACAUGCAAGUCGAACGCCCAGCAAUGGGAGUGGCAGACGGGAUAGUAACACGUGGGAACGCGCCCUUCGGUUCGGAAUAACUCAGGGAAACUUGAGCUAAUACCGGAUACGCCUUACGGGAAGAUUAUUGCCGAAGGAACGGCCCGCGUCGGAUUAGCUAGUUGGUGAGGUAAUGGCUCACCAAGGCGACGAUCCGUAGCUGGUCUGAGAGGAUGACCAGCAUCACUGGGACUGAGACACGGCCCAGACUCCUACGGGAGGCAGCAGUGGGGAAGUAUUGGACAAUGGGCGGAAAGCCUGAUCCAGCAAUGCCGCGUGAGUGAUGAAGGCCUUAGGGUUGUAAAGCUCUUUUACCUAGGGAUGAUAAUGACAGUACCUGGAGAAUAAGCUCCGCUAACUCCGUGCCA
rnacentral:rRNA from 1 species